GUGUGAUAAGCGCACAGAAAACACUGAUGUCAUCUUAGACUCUGGGAUAACUCCUCAGAGAGCUCCUACCAGACACACAGAAAAGGGAAGCGGAGCCACUACACAGAAGGAAUCCUAUGAGCCCACAUCAUGAGUGUGUACUUCCUCCGCACGUCCUUCCUUCUGGACCAUCCCAGCAAGAGCAAUGUCUUACCAAGUUUACCAUGGUGGCCUUGAACUUAACCUAUAGCUCAGGAAGACCUUGAACUUGGAAGCUCAGUCCACCAGCCUCGCGGCCUCCUACUUAGCUGGAAUUACAGGUUUGCGGACACUUAUUCUUGUUUCAUACAUAAUUAAGUAUCACUCUGAAAACCACCUAUGCUGCUGGCCUUCAGAAUCCAGUCUCUUCCCAUGUAUCAGGAUCCUUUCCCAUCUGGCCAUGAUCCACCCACUCUGCCUUCUGUGGAAUAGGAACCAGGUUCAGAAACUGAUAUAAUAAUGCAGGGAAAUCCACUGGUGACCUGAACCAGGGUGGCAGUACAGAAAGCAGGGAAGAGACCCAAACUCUCCCCAGCCCCCAUCAUCUGCAAGGCAGAGAGCUUCCCAGGUUUGUCCAAGCUGGGCAUGUGGCCCAGGACAGAAAGCACCACCUUCUUGCUAGCAUCCUUGUCCUUUGCCCAAGAUGACACAGCAAAGGAAGUCAGAGUCAGAAAUCAAAUCACGAUGUGUUUGAUUUGAGAGCACACCCUCUCCCCAAGCCCAGCCUCCUGUUCACUUGGACCACCUCCAAGCUGUAUCACAUGGAAAUCCCAUAGGUCAAGACAGCCAGAUCCCACAUGCCUGGCCCUCAUUCAAACCAGAAAAACAGAAAGGAGAUUGUUGAAUUAGUCCCAUACACUGUAGCUUAAAUAACCCUUCCUCCACAUGUCCACGAAACCACGUGAAGCAUGGGACUAGAGCCCGACCCUGGGACACCAGCAAGCACUUGACCCUGGCAUCUGGCUUUAUCAAUUGGGCUUUGGUAACAACCUAAGAUUGCUAAAAUCUGACUAAAUGACUUCUCUUUGGCAGAGGCUGCCAGGCAAUUCGUCAUCACAGAUUACCCAAAGGGUCAAUCCUGAAGUCAUAAGCCCACUACAGAGAAGACUCAAAAUAAUAAUAUGUUUGCAAGUGGGAAAAUUAUUUUUAUCAUAACCUGACCCAGAAAUACAGAAUUUGAUGUUGGGAAGAUUUUCAGUUAGUAGCAUCCAUGAGUUCAAACGUGAUUUUCUACUUGGAAUCUUCUGGCUGGGAAACUUUCUCAAUAUAAUAUAGUAACGCAAGUGUAUUUGUGGGGGAGCUUUUCAAAAUAGGCACACACACACCACACUGCAAAUAGUCAACCGUGGCCAUAAUAUAGUUUUUAAACUUUUCAAAAAUACUGGGGUAAUGCUUCACUAAAAUUCUCUAACAUAAGAUAUUAGAAAGAUAUUUUAAUAGGUUUCUUUUCUCAUUCUCAAAUUUCCUAUUGCCAAAAUUAAAACAAAGAGGCCUUAUAUCAAUCUGCUUCUCUCUUCCCCACCCCUCCUCCUUUAUCAUUUCUCCCCCCCCCAUCCUGUUUCUCUCCCUCUCCUCCCCUUUCCCUUUCUCUCCCUCCCUCUCUUCUGGGCAGAUUUUUUUGCUGUUCAGCCUCAGAGACCCCAGAGGUCUGACUGUUAAGAGUACCAAUUUCCGGCUGAGGACUCCAUCGAAGAGACUGAAGGAUAACUGACAUCACAAUUUAUUGCCACCCCAAAACAACCUUCUCAACUCAAAGCAAAACCAUAAUUACGGGUGAGAAAGACACUCUCUGCUAACUGGCUGUGAAAGACUGAUUUACAAUACAUUCUGCCUCCCAGCAGAAGGCUCUUGGCAGUCACAAAUGCCGGGUUUUGUGUAUUCAGGGGCAAAGCUCAGAGGAGCAGAAGAGAGUUAAAAGGACAUUCUGCAUGGGAAGUGUGCCUCUUUCCAGCACAUUUACCCCAUAAAGUCUGAGCGCUAAGAGCCUCUGGAAAACUCCCCACUAGGAAAACAAACUUGUACCGUAGCAAUGACAAAGACUCAACAUUCCUCCCCCACCACCACACCACCACCCCGUCUGUCUGUCUUUCUCUCUUUCUGUCUUUCUCUCUCUCAAAUGCAGUCCCCCUUACCCACUGAAAUCUCCUGGUCACUAUUUAUACCUUCCAGGAAGAAAAGUUCUUCCAAGGAUGAGGAGAAAAGCCAACACAGAUUUAAGUUGCAAACCUGACCUGGCAGCGGAGAUUAGUGCCUUUAAAUAGCAUUAGGUUCUUGUUUUCAGGGAACUGUCAAACCUUAAAGCUAAAAGAACACUCUUGAGAUAAGCAGGCACUGAGAGCAGGCCUCCCUGACAUUACAGGAAGGAAGGCCUGGCAAACACGGCAGGGAGCUUCAAGAAAACAUAAGAAGAACGCAGGCAUCAUCCAAAGGACCCAGGAAGCCCAGCUGUAGAGUCACCUAGAAUGGAGCUCUGCCCUGGGCCAUGUCUUUUGCAUCCCCACUUGAUCCAGCAGCCGGUGCCCCUGAUGCAGAAACAACAGUUUUCAAUUUCACCUCGGAUAGAUGUGGUCUCCAAACAGAACUAACCUCAAGCCUCUCCAGGGAACUGGGAAUUGAUUACUAGAGGAUGGCCUCAUAUCAAGGGAGAAAUGAGAAAUGGGUUGGUUCAGUUUCCUGCAUGAAGGUGGUUUUUUUGUUUGUUUGUUUAUUUGCUUGCUUGUUUUUGAGACAUUAAUGUGUGCACUAGGGUUCAAUCUGCCUCUUAGUAGGGAACUUGGGCUCUGGGUCUCAUGUGCUCGAGCAGCUGGGAUAGUUAUAAUAAUUUGCUGUGGAGAUGACCUGUAAUGAUUUGCCCAAGUGCCUGAAAUUAAGCUGCCACUAUUUUGGUCUUAACACAGGGAAUUACAUCUUUAACAUAGGAGUCAUCUCCUAUGCUGCAAACUCAGGGUUCAUCCCUCUAAACCCAGACAUGGGACUCUCUGGGAGCCAAGAAAGCAAAGGGGCAGUUGGCUAUGCAGAGACUAAGGAUGAGAAGAAAAUACCCCAUUCCUGUAAAGAUGGCCUGGUUAAGGCACAUGCCAAUAAUCCCAAUAGCUGGAAGGCUGAGGCAGGAGGAUUUUGAACUCUAGCCAGUGUGGGUUAUAUUUUAAAAAUAGGGAGGAUGGGAAAGAGAAGAAGCAUACAGGAGAAAGCAGAAGGGACGCCUCGACUGUUUGCCACACCCAUAGGCCUGGGGCCUUCUCACACUUAGUUUCAAAAGUCAGAAAACAAAGUCAAGGGGUAAAUAAUCCACUGUGGUCAUUGCAUUAGUGGAUUUUCUCCUGGCUGGAACCAAACACCUAGCAAAAGGCAGUGUGUGUGUGUGUGUGUGUGUGUGUGUGUGUGUGUGUGUGUGUGGCGGGGGAGGGGAGCACACAGUUUGAGGGAAUACAGUCCAUCAUGGGCAUGAAGGCGUGUGAGCAGAGGCGUGAGGCAGCCGUUUGCCUUGCUUCCACAGUUCGGAAAGCAGAAAGAAGAUGGGAAGUGGACCAGGUCCUAUAACCUCAAGGUCAGUCACAAGUGACUCAUUUCCUAUGGGGACACGUCAUAUCAAAUUACUAUAGCUACCUAAGCUCCAAAAUGUCUCGUUCCCGUUCUUGGACUAAAUAGAACAGGUGUAGGGUGCUGAAAGAAACACAAGCGUGAGGAGGAACUGAGCUAGGUUUAGGAGGAAGGUGGGAAGGGAAGGCCCAGAGAGAGCAGAGGUGGGGAGAUGGGCUUGCUGGAAGGAAAUCUGGCUACAAGCAUGAAGAUUCCUUUAGUUGCAAUAAUAAUAAUAAUAAUAAUAAUAAUAAGCCAAACAUAUUGUGCACUAUGGACUCUUUCUUGCGCUGCUCAAUUUCUGUCCCAGAUGCUGAGAGGAGGGUGCAUCUGUCUACCAUCAGCCCUUGUCAGGAUUCAGGGGUCAGAGAAGCAGCUGUUGCUAAGCCACUCAGGCCAGGCUUUCUGCACUUAGCUGAUUGCUUUCCUAACCACCUUAUUUAUUCACCACGAUUGUUCUGAUGGGGAAACAGGUCCACUCCCAAGUCCACCAAAUAGGGGUCCUAGGCUGGACCAAGACGUAAAUCACACAUCCAAGUUGUCAGCAGUGAUUUCCUGUUCUCAAAGCCGGCCCUGAGAGUGGUAUGGGAGGUGGAGACCGGGCAGUGGCAUAGCUCUUCAAGAGUCUAUGGUCACAGUCAUGCUCAGGAUGGAUCUUCCAGACUGCAGACAUUCAAACCUUCAAUGAACAAAGUACACAUGAAUAGGAGGCAGACAGGAAGGGACACAGCCUUCAGUUCUUCUGGGACACAGGGAAUGAUCAGCAAUUUGUGACAUUUUUAGCCUUUCCCUAAUGGAAA